ensembl:lncRNA
CGUUGAUGUAGAUGGCAUGAAAACGGAAACAACAAGUAUGCCGGCUCACUGUGCUGCAUACAGUUACACACUGCGUCCUAUGAUUGAGACAAGGAAACUUGGAAUGACUUUUCAUAGGUUUCCCAGAGACUAUGGGUUGAGGAGGAAGUGGAAGUUUGUCAGCUUAGACCUGGUGUCAUUCCAUCAGUGUUUAACUUCCCGGCUCAUCUUGGAAGAGUAUGUGCCAGAAAGACCACAAACAAGCAGCCUUGAGAUGUUAGACAGCGUCUCCCUGAGGUCCCUCUCUAUCUCCCCACAUAUCCACCAACCACUGGAACACAUCUCCAAAGUUCUGCUGGGCCAGCUCAGCUUCCCCUCAGAAGAAGUGCCGCCACCUGCCAGAUGAAGGAGCCUUUUGAGAGGCAGCUGGCAUCGUGAUUGGACUGUACUUUGGUCUGUUCCAAUCCAGCUUCAGCUCCAGAGACGGCAGGCGGGACGAGUCAACGGAGGCCGGAUGGACGAAGGCAUGCAGCUGAGUACAAUCCAGAAAACAACAGAGGAGGAGUGCAGGGCCAGAACAACCAGAGUAGCACAUUAUGUCUCUUAGAAAACAUCAUAGUAGAGCCUUUGGGAUGAAAAAACGCCAUCAUAUACAUCGUAUAUUGUACAAAUAAGUCAAAGGAAAGAGACAUCAACUGUAGAAUUGUAGUAAUUGUGGACUGACUGAUUUACUGAUUAUCAGUAUUUUAUUUUUUACCGAUUUACGGUAAUAAAUACAUUUAAAAAUGGUGCUACUUUGGCUCUGAACCUUUAUCUAC